AGUGAACGCUGGCGGUAGGCCUAACACAUGCAAGUCGAACGGCAGCACAGUAAGAGCCUGCUCUUACGGGUGGCGAGUGGCGGACGGGUGAGGAAUACAUCGGAAUCUACUUUUUCGUGGGGGAUAAUGUAGGGAAACUUACGCUAAUACCGCAUACGACCUACGGGUGAAAGCAGGGGAUCUUCGGACCUUGCGCGAUUGAAUGAGCCGAUGUCGGAUUAGCUAGUUGGCGGGGUAAAGGCCCACCAAGGCGACGAUCCGUAGCUGGUCUGAGAGGAUGAUCAGCCACACUGGAACUGAGACACGGUCCAGACUCCUACGGGAGGCAGCAGUGGGGAAUAUUGGACAAUGGGCGCAAGCCUGAUCCAGCCAUACCGCGUGGGUGAAGAAGGCCUUCGGGUUGUAAAGCCCUUUUGUUGGGAAAGAAAAGCAGCAGGUUAAUACCCCGCUGUUCUGACGGUACCCAAAGAAUAAGCACCGGCUAACUUCGUG
rnacentral:rRNA from 1 species